UAUGUGAUCGUCUCUCGCAUAUCAAUAAGCGGAGGAAAAGAAACUGACAAGGAUUCCCCUAGUAACGGCGAGUGAAGCGGGAAGAGCUCAAAUUUGAAAUCUUAAAGGGUUUCCCUUUACGAAUUGUAGUUUAAAGAAGUGUUUUCUGUUGAGGUUUUGGUAAAAGUUCUUUGGAAUAGGACAUCAUAGAGGGUGAGAAAUCCCGUAUUUGACCUUUACUUUCAACUUUGUGAUACACUUUCAAAGAGUCGGAUUGUUUGGGAAUGCAGUCCAAAAUGGGUGGUAAAUUUCAUCUAAAGCUAAAUAUUGGCGAGAGACCGAUAGCGAACAAGUACCGUGAGGGAAAGAUGAAAAGAACUUUGAAAAGAGAGUUAAACAGUACGUGAAAUUGUCAAAAGGGAAGCGUUUGACACCAGUGUUGUUUUUCUGAAAAUCAAUUAAAGAACUGUUUAUGCUAAGCUGUUUAGACUUUAUCAGCUAACUGUUUAGUUUUGAGCUUUUCUUUAAUGCACUUUUCAGUUAACAAGUCAACAUCAAUUUCUUUUGCUGUAAAAAAGCUUGAGGAAGGUGGCUUGAGAUUCGUCUUAAGUGUUUAUAGCCUCUUGCCUAUGCAGUCGGAGAGAUUGAGGUCUGCAGCGUAGAUCCUUCGGGGCUAAAUGCAUUUGUGCUAAGUUAUAGCAUUUUAUAGACAACUUGUUGACUAUGAUUUGUCUUGUAGCUUACUCGCUUAUGUUAUUUUACCUACGCUUAGGAUGUUGAUCUACAGAGCGAGAGU
rnacentral:rRNA from 1 species